rnacentral:pre_miRNA from 1 species
GGAAUACCACAAAAAACUGCCGAAAACGAUAAGUAAAAUCCUUUUUUGGUAGUUUUUUGUAGGAUUUCGUA